CAGGCGGUCUGUCAAGUCGGAUGUGAAAUCCCCGGGCUCAACCUGGGAACUGCAUUCGAAACUGGCAGGCUUGAGUCUUGUAGAGGGGGGUAGAAUUCCAGGUGUAGCGGUGAAAUGCGUAGAGAUCUGGAGGAAUACCGGUGGCGAAGGCGGCCCCCUGGACAAAGACUGACGCUCAGGUGCGAAAGCGUGGGGAGCAAACAGGAUUAGAUACCCUGGUAGUCCACGCCGUAAACGAUGUCUACUUGGAGGUUGUGCCCUUGAGGCGUGGCUUCCGGAGCUAACGCGUUAAGUAGACCGCCUGGGGAGUACGGCCGCAAGGUUAAAACUCAAAUGAAUUGACGGGGGCCCGCACAAGCGGUGGAGCAUGUGGUUUAAUUCGAUGCAACGCGAAGAACCUUACCUGGUCUUGACAUCCACGGAAGUUUUCAGAGAUGAGAAUGUGCCUUCGGGAACCGUGAGACAGGUGCUGCAUGGCUGUCGUCAGCUCGUGUUGUGAAAUGUUGGGUUAAGUCCCGCAACGAGCGCAACCCUUAUCCUUUGUUGCCAGCGAUUAGGUCGGGAACUCAAAGGAGACUGCCAGUGAUAAACUGGAGGAAGGUGGGGAUGACGUCAAGUCAUCAUGGCCCUUACGACCAGGGCUACACACGUGCUACAAUGGCGCAUACAAAGAGAAGCGACCUCGCGAGAGCAAGCGGACCUCAUAAAGUGCGUCGUAGUCCGGAUUGGAGUCUGCAACUCGACUCCAUGAAGUCGGAAUCGCUAGUAAUCGUGGAUCAGAAUGCCACGGUGAAUACGUUCCCGGGCCUUGUACACACCGCCCGUCACACCAUGGGAGUGGGUUGCAAAAGAAGUAGGUAGCUUAACCUUCGGGAGGGCGCUUACCACUUUGUGAUUCAUGACUGGGGUGAAGUCGUAACAAGGUAACCGUAGGGGAACCUGCGGUUGGAUCACCUCCUUACCUUAAAGAA
rnacentral:rRNA from 1 species